UAAAUAAAAAUAGUUUAAUUUUGAAUUAAAAUAUUUCUUAUAUAUAUAUAUAUCUAUUGUAUUAAUUUAUGCAGUAUGAUUUAAAUUAGGGUUAAUUUCAUAUAGGUCCCUAUAAAUAUAGUGAAUUGUAAAUAUAUCCCUACAAAGUUCAACUUUUCUCUACAAAAGUUUUAAUAUUUUUCAAAUAUGUCCUUCUAGUUUGUUACCGUUAAAAUACUGUUUAUUUUAUAAGUGAAAUGACCUUUUUGCUAUCACAAAUAUAUCCCUCCAAAAGUCCCAACUGUUAAUUGAAUAGGAGUAAAAAGGUCAAUUCACCUCAUUAACUAGGGAUGUCAAUGGGUAUGAAUACCCGAAAUUUUAUCCGAAUCUGAAUGAAACGGAUAUAUCCGAAAUUAAAUAGAUAUGGAUUCGAAUAUGGAUAUAAAAAAUAGAAAUCCGACGGAUAUGGAUUUUUACUGUACCCGACUCGAAACUGAACCCGACCCGAACCCGAAUUUAUUUUGUAUUAUAUAUAAUAUAUAUAUAAAAAUUUGAUAUUAUAUUUGAAUUUGUAUUUUAAAAAUUUAGAUUUAAUAUAAUAUAUUUUGAAAUAUUGAAAAAAGAAAUAAUUGUUUCGGGUUCGGGUUUCAGAUUUUUGGUCGGGUUUGGAUUUGGAUAUAGAUUUUUAAAAUCCGUCGGGUUCGGAUUUGGAGUCGGGUUCGGGUUCGGGUUUUUGAAAAUCCGCCCCGAAUCCGACCCGUUGACAUCCCUAUCAUUAACUAAUCAGGGUUAACUAUUUUACCUAUGGUUAACUAUUUUUUUCUAACAGAUUCUAACGGCAGAAAUAUAUUUGAAAAUAUCAGUACUUUUGUAUGGACAAUAUAUAAAAAUUAAACUUUAUAGGGAUGUAUUUACAAUUUACUAUAUUUGCAGGAACCUGUAUGAAAUUAAACCUUUAAAUUAAUAAUGUUUUAAAAUUAUGUAACGAGUAAUU
rnacentral:lncRNA from 1 species